ACCCCAGCGCGUAGGUUGUGAUUCGGACCGUGUUUGAGUCAGUCUACAAUUUCUAGGCACUGGAUUUGUAGAGACCAUUGGGUGGGACGAGAAAUAAGAUCAGCAUGGAGUCUGAUUGCUGGAUAGAUAGGAGUUAAUCUAUCUUUUAUUUAUGGACAUUUGAAAUUAUGUAAUAAAUCAGUACAUUUUAGUUGGAUUUGAUUGAAUUACAUUAAUCUUUGAUUUUGGCA